AUACUUACCUGGCAGAGGCAAUUCCAUGAUCACAAAAUUGGUUUCACCAGGGUGAGGCUCAUCCCUUGCACUCCAGGUGUGUUGACCCCUGCGAUUUCCUCAAAUGUGGGAAACUCAACUGCGUAAUUUAUGGUAGUGGGGGACUGCAAGCAUGCUCUCCCCUG